GGUGCUACGCUCCGCAUCGCGCAGCUGGGGACCUGAGGCGGAGAUUAAGCGAUCUCCCGAGGAGUCUGGGGCAGAGCCGGGAUUUGAAUCUGGAUCCGCCGAGCCCCAGACUAGUCCGCUAAACGCUAGGCCACCCUUCCUCUAGCCACACUGCUGAGGCGCCAAAGCUGACGGAGGCAGCCCAAGUCGCUGAUAUCGUCGGCUCAUCUCCUCCUGAAGAUCUCUGGGCAUCGCAAUUUCCAUCGCCUCCCCGGGCAGCCACUUCGAUCCGCUCCUGAGCGUUCCAGUGACCCCUGCCCUGGCCUCUGCUCCCCCAUUCCCAGAUCCCUCUGGUCCCCUUAUCACCAGCGUUCUUCCAGUGCAGGGGAUGGGGCAUCCUGGCAAUGGGAGAAACUCCCCCCUGCUGCACCUGCUCUGUGGGUAAAAGACUCCAGUCUCCACAGCAAAUAAUAGUGACUCCUGAGCUCUGUGGCCCCGCCCUUAUCUGAGGGGGCGGGGCUUUUGGUCUGUGGGCUCCACCCACCUUCCCCCAGGAUUCAUAGAUUCCAAGGCCAGAAGGGACCACCGUGGCCAGCAGUUUGGCCUCCCGUACCACACAGAGACCUGCCCUAAAUCCUUCCUAGAGCAGAUCUAGGCGCACAUCCAGUCUUGAUCUAAACAUUGUCAGUGCUGGAGACUCCACCGUGACCCAGGGGAAGUUGUUCUGGUUGUUAAUUACUCUCAUGGCUGAAAAUUUACAUCUUAUUUCAGGUCUGAGUUUGUCCAGCUUCAACUUCCAGUCGUUGGGCCGUGUUAGACUUUCUCUGCUUGACUGAAGAGCCUGUUAUUAAAUAUUUUUCUCCCUGUGCACCUGAACUGGACACAUUAUUCCCGCAGUGGUCGCUCCAGUGCCAAUUCCGGAGGAACAGGAACAGAUCGGGAUCAGCUCUAUAUACCGGAGCGAACCCAGGAAGCCAAUCGGGUGCCACUGACACAAACUGUGGAACCAGGCGGGAUGGUGAAAAGGCAGUGAUCAGAGCCAGGGAACCAGUCCAGUUCAGAAGGCAGGGCCUGGGCAGCUGAGUUCAGCUGCUUCCAGAACCUCCACCUCCUCCUUCUUUGGGUCGUGGACUUUAGGAACAUGCUUAUCUAGGCCCUGAUUCAGCCAAGCCCUGAAGCACACGCUGAAGGGAUUUGCUGACUAGGAACACUAGCUCUGUCUCUUGUUGUUUUUAUCGUUAACCUGCA